rnacentral:lncRNA from 1 species
AGAUAAAUAUGCUGAGGCAUGUUUUCAAGGAGGGGAGAGAGAUUCCUUUUCCUCAGCCGGGCACAGAGCCAACCUGAAGUGUAGCACUGUGGUGACCUGGCGGGAUCUGCUCUCCAGUCACUCCCGAGGGCCCUUCUGGGGACAAGGAGACUUUUCUGUGCGGCCUGUUGAUUUGAGAUCGAGGCUAUCAAGCUACAGAUGAUCUUACAAAUGGAACCCCAAAUGAGCUCAACUAACAACUACCAAGGACCCCUGGACCAACCCGCUGGCCCUUUCAAUGGCCUAAAGAGUUCCCCUCUGGAGGACACUACAACUGCAGGGUCCUUUCUUUGCCCCUAUCCAGCAGGAAGUAGCUAGAGUGGUCAUCACCCAAUUCCCAACAGCAGUUGGGGUGUCUUGUUAAGUGGGGAGAUUGAGAGGUGAAGCCAGCUGGGCUUCUGGGUUGGGUGGGGACUUGGAGAACUUUUCUGUCUAGCUAGAGGAUUGUAAACACACCAAUCAGUGCUAUGUGUCUAGCUAGAGGUUUGUAAAUGCACCAAUCAGCACUCUGUAAAAACGGACCAAUCAGCACUCUGUAAAAUGGACCAAUCAGUAGGAUGCGGGCAGGGCCAAAUAAGGGAAUAAAAGCUGGCCACCUGAGUCAGCAGUGGCAACCCACUCGGGUCCCCUUCCAUGCUGUGGAAGCUUUGUUCUUUCACUCUUCACAAUAAAUCUUGCUGCUGCUCACUCUUUGGGUCCACACCACCUUUAUGAGCUGCAACACUCACUGCGAAGGUCUUCAGCUUCACUCCUGAAGUCAGCGAGACCACGAACCCAUGGGGAGGAACAAUCGACUUCAGACAUGCCACCUUUAAGAGCUGUAACACUCACUGCGAAGGUCUGUGGCUUCACUCCUGAAGUCAGCAAGACCACGAACCCACUGGAAGGAAGAAAUUUCGGACACAUCUGAACAUCUGAAUGAACAAACUCUGGACACGCCAUCUUUAAGAACUGUAACACUCACUGUGAGGGUUCAUGGGUUCAUUCUUGAAGUCAGCAAGACCAAGAACCCACCAGAAGGAACCAAUUCCGGACACAGACUCACUGCAACCUCCACCUCCUGGAU